AUGCUGUUUCACUCCAGCUCUGGACUUGUGAUCCUGUUGAUGUUAGGAGGGAUCCGCGGAGACUCAGUGAACCAGACAGAGGGCCCUGUCACCGUCCCCGAGGCGGAAUUUUUGACCCUGAACUGUACUUACCAGACCACCUAUGGUGACUAUCUUUUCUGGUAUGUCCAAUAUCAAAACAAAGAGCCUGUUCUCCUCCUGAAAAGCUCAUCGGAUGACCAGGAGGUGAACAGCCAAGGUUUUCAGGCCACACUUGUGAAGAAACACAGAUCCUUCCACCUGAAGAAACCUUCAGUGCAGAUGUCAGACUCGGCUGUGUACUUCUGCGCUCUGAGGGACACAGUGCGGGAGUCCCCAGGGGGAGCCGAGCACAAACCCAGAGGGACGCACAUAGGGCUGCAGGCGAGCAGCCUGGCUUUCCCAGGGGCAACAGUGCACCUCCGCGGCUGUUCUGGGGAGACGUGCAGGAUCCAGCAUGACCCAGAAGGCUUGUUAGAUGUGGACACGCAGAGACAGGAGUACAGCGCAGGGAGCCUCUGGGUCCCAGGCCGAGGUGGUGAAGCUGUCACAGCCCGCAGGACAGCUGGGGCCCUCUGA